UCUUUUGUAGGUUAUGCUUAUUUUUAAACUGUCGGUUUGUGGUGCCGUUGAAUCUUUCAGACAAAAGAAAG
rnacentral:tRNA from 1 species